UAGUAAUUAUCCCUUUCCAGUUUGUAUGCAUCACCGAAGCUAACAACUCUUGCGUAGAGAGCACCAGCGCAGCAGCACGCUCGUCCAAAUCAGCUAAAACCGCUUCUGAGUUCUGAUACCACCAGUACUACCACCAUAAUCAAUUUGUCCUCGUUUCAGUCAAUCGUGGUGAUUCCAUGGCUACUCAAUCUGCGCCUCCUCCUCCUUCCAGUCCGCCCGAUGACAAGCCCCGAAUUCGAGGUUCAGAGCUGCCACAACCAACAAAUGAGAUUCAGCAACAUGCCAGGGAAGAGGCUCCUACACAAAGUUCAUCAUCUGUCUUUGUGAACUCCGAACCAAUGCGAGAGGAACAAGUACAGAAUGCUGUAAAAUUUCUCUCACACCCAAAAGUUAGAGGUUCUCCUGUCAUGUAUAGGCGAUCCUUCCUCGAGAGGAAGGGCCUCACAAAGGAGGAGAUUGAUGAAGCUUUUCGCCGUGUGCCAGAUCCACCUCCAAGCACACAACCACCUGGUACAAAUCAAGAGCCGCAAAUGAAAUCAACAUCAAUUGUUCAGCCACCAGCCCAAACACAGGCUCUUCAGCCUGUAGCAGCUGCUCCAACUGGCGCCAUUUCCUCUGCGGGAACUUUAAUGCAAUCCCGAUUUCACUGGUAUCAUAUUGUUUUUGCUGUAGGAUUACUGUCAGCUUCAGGUGCUGGAACAGCAGUAUUAAUUAAGAGUGCUAUUAUCCCUAGAUUGAAGUCUUGGAUACGUAAGGUUGUAUUGGAAGAAGAUGAUGGCCCUGUGAUGAAAGGUAAUGCAAAACCAAGUUCGGCAGAAGAGGCAGCAGCGGCUGCAAAAGCAGCUGCAGCUGCUGCUGCUGCUGUUGCGAAAGCAAGUCAAGAAAUGUUGAACUCAAAAAAGGAAGAGAGAAGAUACUUCAACAAAUUUAUGAAUUUGUUGGAUGUGCAAGUUCAGGAAAUGAAAUCAAUGAGGACUGCAAUACGUAAAUUGGAAGGACAAACUAAUAACCAUGGGAGAACCUCUCUUGUUGAUCAAGAAGAUUAUACUCUUUCAGUGGCAAAUCAUAGUAAGCAAACCUAUGUGAAUGGGAAGGUUGAGUCUGAUUCACGUUCAGUGAGAUCUUUGUCGCCACCUACAUCUGCUGAACCCUCUGUUGCACCACAUCCAAUGUCAUAUAUGGAGAUCAUGGCAAUGGUCCAAAGAGGAGAGAGACCUCCUAACAUCAGAGAUAUCAAUGAUCAGCCACCCAACCCUAACCAGCAAAUUUCAAAUACUCGCUUAGCACCAAGGAGCAAGCCCUGGGAGGCUGGUCAAUUCUUAAACAGUUCAAGCCAAGUACUUCAGCCUCAUGUAAAUGGAGAAAGUUUAAAACCCAAGGUACAAGACAAUGGGGUUACCUAUCAGUUUGAUGGUGAGAGUGCCACGCCUUGGUGGCAGCGGAAGAAUGCCAGGAUUACGGAGAUUGAAAAUGAGGAUGAACUCAAGGCCCGACCUAAUGUUGCACGAACUAAUGAGCAGCCAAUUCAGCGUACUUGGGUUCCUCCCCAACCUCCCCCAGUUGCAAUGCCUGAAGCAGCGGAGGCCAUUCGACAGCCAAAAUCAUCAGUUCAGAAAGAACAGGUGGCAGAGGAUCAGUCUGUCUCUCUCUCAACAGCUGUAACAGAUGAGUUGCAAAGAAUAACAAAAGUAUCUGAAUCAGGGAGUGCGGUGGAGGUUCUAUGAAGAAUUGAAGAUGGAAUUCAGUUUGGAUGACUUGCUUUCCCUAAGAUAAAGCUUUUGCAGCUUUGUUUACCGUCAAAGCCUGCUACUGUACCGAAUCGGAAGAAUGCUGUCGUUUCUACCGCAUUGCAGUCCAUUUGUUUUGAGGAUGCUUCAUACUUGUUUAGCUGGGAAAAUUGGCUGAAAACUUAUAUGGGACACCAUCCUUCCUGAUAAUCUUGAGUCAACCAUCAUCCAGGCCCAGAUGCGCCUACCUUGGAGAAAUCUUUUGCAUGGGUGAAAAUUGAUAUACGAUGCAAUUGAUUUAUUUUACAAUUUUUCACUAUAUGCGUGUCAAGCUGAAUUACACUGUACUGCUCAUGCGAAAUAGCUCAAUUAUAAAUUUUUUGAAAAAUGAACGAGGAAAACAAAAAUACAAAAACUUUCUAAGAUAUCAAUUACAUUGAAUCCAAUUUCUAAA